GCCCUAUUAGCUCAGUUGGUUAGAGCGUAGUGCUUAUAGUUAAAGCUAUGCUUGAGGCACGCUAAGGUCGCGAGUUCGAUCCUCGCAUAGGGCA